rnacentral:rRNA from 1 species
GACGAACGCUGGCGGCGUGCUUAACACAUGCAAGUCGAACGGAAAGGCCCUGCUUUUGUGGGGUGCUCGAGUGGCGAACGGGUGAGUAACACGUGAGUAACCUGCCCUUGACUUUGGGAUAACUUCAGGAAACUGGGGCUAAUACCGGAUAGGAGCUCCUGCUGCAUGGUGGGGGUUGGAAAGUUUCGGCGGUUGGGGAUGGACUCGCGGCUUAUCAGCUUGUUGGUGGGGUAGUGGCUUACCAAGGCUUUGACGGGUAGCCGGCCUGAGAGGGUGACCGGGGACAAGGGGACUAAGAGACGGAGCAGAGGGGUACGGGAGGCAGCAGGGGGGAACAUGGGACAAUGGGCGGAGGCGGGAGACAGAAGCGCCGCGGGCGGGAUGACGGCCUGCGGGGAGUGAACAGCUGUCGCCUGAUACGAAGCGGGAAUGACGGUAAUGGGUGAAGAAGCACCGGCUAACUACGUG